GUAAAAAGACCAGACAGUCUGAACUCGGAUCCUCCCAGCCCACCUCAGAAUCAGUUAGGGCAACCUAUGGCUCCCCCAACUCAAAAUCAGUAUGGUCAACCUAUGGCUCCUGCACCUCAGUAUCAGUACGGUCAACCUAUGGCUCCACCGACUCAAAAUCAGUAUGGUCAACCUCUGGCUCCUCCGACUCAAAAUCAAUACGAUCAACCUCUGGCUCCUCCGACUCAAAAUCAAUAUGGUCAACCUAUGGCUCCACCAACUCCGCCCCCACCCGGACCAAACGAGGAUUCAAUGACUCCCCCACCUCAGAAUCAGAAUGGGGAUGGGCAGUUCAUGCCUCCUCCCACUUUGGACCAAGAUCCAAACGACCAG
rnacentral:lncRNA from 1 species